AUAACACAAAUGGCGCAGUGAGCCCUCUCUACUGGUUAACCUAUCACUCACAGCAGAGCGCUGAACAGACUGCGCAAUUCACAAACAGUGAGUUGCGACAAGAUAUUUUCCGUGACGUGAUCGUCACAUGUCACGGUAUGGUUUCAGAACACAAACUUAAGGAACAAAGGUGGGACGUUCAUCAUGAAGGUCAGCAGUGCAGGCGAAUGUUGUUGCAGCAGUGCCUUCUUCACAAUUUGGCAUCCUGGCCAAUGACCUAUGAGGCACACGCCAAGAACAGCCUAAGCCUACUACGAGGUCGGCUAAGGACCUGUAUCCACUAGGACAUUGGGUCAGAGCUUCUGCUUCUCUGCAUCAAAAUAAGAAUUGUGAGAAGGUUUGGCCAUGUGAUCCGAGUCACAAAACACCUGAGAACAGAAAGAAAGGAAUCUCUUCAUCCAGCCGACACCUCCAUCCACUACAGUUCCUUUUACUUGUCUGUCUGAGAAUGUUCACUAUGAAGAUUUCCUUUACCUUUG